CAGUAGCCGCGGGAAUACGUAGGGUGCAAGCGUUAAUCGGAAUUACUGGGCGUAAAGCGUGCGCAGGCGGUGUUGUAAGACUGAUGUGAAAUCCCCGGGCUCAACCUGGGAACUGCAUUGGUGACUGCAACGCUGGAGUGCGGCAGAGGGGGAUGGAAUUCCGCGUGUAGCAGUGAAAUGCGUAGAUAUGCGGAGGAACACCGAUGGCGAAGGCAAUCCCCUGGGCCUGCACUGACGCUCAUGCACGAAAGCGUGGGGAGCAAACAGGAUUAGAUACCCCCGUAGUCCCUGUCUCUUAUAA
rnacentral:rRNA from 1 species